rnacentral:sRNA from 1 species
GCACUCUAUGAAAUAGCAUUGAGUCAUUUUUAGGAUAGAAAUAUCUGACAAAUAAUAGAUAUUAAGCUGCCUUUCUUAAUCAAAAUUAUACUCACCUUUUAUUUUCAUAAGCCCAUCACUUUAAGGCAGACGCAUUGGGGAUUUAAAGGAAUGUUUUAAAUGGAAAGAUGCUUUCGUUCUUAAGGAGGUACAUUUAUUUCCAUUUGUCUCAUCUGAUUCAUACAACUUUAACCCUAGGAGCUGAUGACUUCUUAAGAUUUCCAAGCUGCUAUUUUAUAGGUAUAGGUAACUGUGUUACCACUUUCCUAAUGUACUUUCUUGUUUCUUCUUGGACAGGGGCUGAUUCAGGAGAUCAAUGAUUUGAGGUUAAAAGUUAGUGAAAUGGACAGUGAGAGACUUCAGUAUGAAAAAAAGCUUAAAUCCACUAAAGAUGAACUGGCAUCUUUAAAAGAACAACUAGAAGAAAAGGAAUCUGAAGUAAAAAGGCUACAAGAAAAAUUGGUUUGCAAGAUGAAAGGAGAAGGGGUUGAAAUUGUUGAUAGAGGUAAGAAGAUAUAUUUCACAUUUGUCAUCUCAUUUUGUUAAAGUCCUCCAAAAUCUGUAAAAGAAACCAAUGAUAGUCAAUGUGUAAUUUUAGCAUCAAAGAAAGAGCAGCGGAAUCCAGCCAGGCCCAGAACCACAGGGAAUUCUCCAAGACUCUGUACUGUGACUGGGAAUCCAUUAAUUUCCUCUUCAGCAGCUGGAAAAGGGGAAUUCUGUACUUUAUUUGGUGUUUAAGAUUACUAGACUGUAAAUUCUCAUCACAAGGAUGGACUAGUGUCGAUUGCAAUGCAAGGGAAUUUAUGCCAAAGGAGUUAAAAAGAACCAUCCCUGUGUCCCAGGAUCGUUGCCCUCAGAACUGAAAUUAGAUAAAGUAAGGGACUUAGAAACUGUUCUG